rnacentral:lncRNA from 1 species
UAUAGGUGGGGGUGAGUGUUGUGAUUAUGAUUUGGGAGCAAUGAAAAAGGAAAAAAAAUGACUCUUUGUGUUUAAGUGAAUUGUUUUAUUGGGAUAAGUAGAAAAGCCUCUAGUUCAAGUUUUGAAAGUCUUGGCCCCCAACCUAAAAAAAAAAAAACGAAAAAAAAAGAGAAAAGAAAAAGAAAAAAAAUAAAAAGGGGCUAGCAAAGUUGUUAGGAGCUAAGAAAUAUUUUGAGGUUCUGAAAAAAUCCCUUGUAGAUUUCAAAGAGAAGGAGUUAAAGUUCUUAGGAUCUUUUGGUGAGAGAUGUGAGUUGGGUUUGACAUUUGGGAAUGAUUGUGUAAUUGUAUGUUUGGAAAAAGGGUAGAACAAUGGAGAUUGAGCAUUGUAUGCAUGAGUUGAUCCCUUUCGUAGAUAUAUUAUGUGCAAUGUCAAGGCUACUUGUUUCGAGAGUAAACCA